AGUGUAAUUAUACCUUUCAGCUAUACUAUUUUGCUUAGAAGUCUUUGGAAUGGUGUAUUGAGCAACUAUCCCGUAGUCUUAUAAGUAUUUGGCAAAAGGUCUCAUUUGAUGGCUAAAUUUACUAGAUUGAUCAUAAUAUUCACCAUCAUAAUCAGAUGCCCCUAAGAUAGUCAAUAUAAGGUGAAUACUACUAAAGUCAAGUGAAGAUAGAAUUUUAUUAUCUAUCAAUAUUUGAAACAUCUCUUUAGAAAUGUGACUUAAUCACUUAUGUCAUAAUGCAAAGAAUUAGUUCUUGGCCAACUAUCUUUUAAGGGACAAUACAAUUUAUAUAUGUAUAUGGCUUUAAACUAGUCAAAUUGUAUAGAGAGA
rnacentral:lncRNA from 1 species